ensembl:snRNA U6 U6 spliceosomal RNA
GUGUUCACUUCAGCAGCACAUAUACUAAAAUUGGAAUGAUUCAAAGAAGAUUAGCAUGACCCCUGCUCAAGGAUGAUAUGUGAAUUUGUGAAGCAUUCCAAAUUUCU